AGUGAACGCUGGCGGUAGGCCUAACACAUGCAAGUCGAACGGCAGCACAGUAAGAGCUUGCUCUUACGGGUGGCGAGUGGCGGACGGGUGAGGAAUACAUCGGAAUCUACUUUUUCGUGGGGGAUAACGUAGGGAAACUUACGCUAAUACCGCAUACGACCUACGGGUGAAAGCAGGGGAUCUUCGGACCUUGCGCGAUUGAAUGAGCCGAUGUCGGAUUAGCUAGUUGGCGGGGUAAAGGCCCACCAAGGCGACGAUCCGUAGCUGGUCUGAGAGGAUGAUCAGCCACACUGGGACUGAGACACGGUCCAGACUCCUACGGGAGGCAGCAGUGGGGAAUAUUGGAGAAUGGGCGCAAGCCUGAUCCAGCCAUAGCGCGUGGGUGAAGAAGGCCUUCGGGUUGUAAAGCCCUUUUGUUGGGAAAGAAAAGCAGCAGGUUAAUACCCCGCUGUUCUGACGGUACCCAAAGAAUAAGCACCGGCUAACUUCGUG
rnacentral:rRNA from 1 species